GACGAACCGGACGAACGUUAUUCGGAAUCAUUGGGCUUAAAGUGUGCGUAGGCGGCCUUGUAGGUGAGGUGUGAAAUCCCACGGCUCAACCGUGGAACUGCGCUUCAAACCACACGGCUUGAGUGAGGCAGAGGUAAGCGGAACUGAUGGUGGAGCGGUGAAAUGCGUUGAUAUCAUCAGGAACACCGGUGGCGAAGGCGGCUUACUGGGCCUUGUCUGACGCUGAGGAACGAAAGCUAGGGGAGCAAACGGG
rnacentral:rRNA from 1 species